UACGGAGGAUGCGAGCGUUAUCCGGAUUUAUUGGGUUUAAAGGGUGCGUAGGCGGGCUUUUAAGUCAGCGGUAAAAAUUCGGGGCUCAACCCCGGCCUGCCGUUGAAACUGGCGGCCUCGAGUGGGCGAGAAGUAUGCGGAAUGCGUGGUGUAGCGGUGAAAUGCAUAGAUAUCACGCAGAACUCCGAUUGCGAAGGCAGCAUACCGGCGCCCGACUGACGCUGAGGCACGAAAGCGUGGGUAUCGAACAGG
rnacentral:rRNA from 1 species